rnacentral:rRNA from 1 species
AUUGAACGCUGGCGGCAGGCCUAACACAUGCAAGUCGAACGGUAACAGGAAGCAUCUUGCUGCUUUGCUGACGAGUGGCGGACGGGUGAGUAAUGUCUGGGAAACUGCCCGAUGGAGGGGGAUAACUACUGGAAACGGUAGCUAAUACCGCAUAACGUCGCAAGACCAAAGAGGGGGACCUUAGGGCCUCUUGCCAUCGGAUGUGCCCAGAUGGGAUUAGCUAGUAGGUGGGGUAACGGCUCACCUAGGCGACGAUCCCUAGCUGGUCUGAGAGGAUGACGAGCCACACUGGAACUGAGACACGGUCCAGACUCCUACGGGAGGCAGCAGUGGGGAAUAUUGCACAAUGGGCGCAAGCCUGAUGCAGCCAUGCCGCGUGUAUGAAGAAGGCCUUCGGGUUGUAAAGUACUUUUAGCGGGGAGGAAGGGAGUAAAGUUAAUACCUUUGCUCAUUGACGUUACCCGCAGAAGAAGCACCGGCUAACUCCGUG